rfam:Dipodomys ordii contig_19192, whole genome shotgun sequence.
GGUAGAGUGGCUCAGAUGAUAGAGUUUCUACUUAAGAAGUGCAAGGUCCUGGGUUCAAACCCCAGUUCUACCA